AUUGAACGCUGGCGGCAGGCCUAACACAUGCAAGUCGAGCGGAGCGGCGGACGGGUGAGUAAUGCCUAGGAAUCUGCCUGGUAGUGGGGGAUAACGUCCGGAAACGGGCGCUAAUACCGCAUACUAUCAGAUGAGCCUAGGUCGGGUUAGCUAGUGGGUGGGGUAAAGGCCUACCAAGGCGACGAUCCGUAACUGGUCUGUGAGGAUGAUCAGUCACACGGGAAUGGAGACACGGUCCAGACUCCGACGGGAGGCAGCAGUGGGGAAUAUGGCACAAUGGGCGCAAGCCUGAUGCAGCCAUGCCGCGUGUAUGAAGAAGGCCUUCGGGUUGUAAAGUACUUUCAUCGGGGAGGCGUUACCCGAAGAAGAAGCACCGGCUAACUCCGUGCCAGCCGCCGCGGUAAUUC
rnacentral:rRNA from 1 species